AGUCGAAACCGGGGCUAAUCCCCCUGGUCUGCCGGAGAUGACCGCCCGGCACUGAUGAGACAGGUCAUA
rnacentral:hammerhead_ribozyme from 1 species